rnacentral:rRNA from 1 species
GCAGUCGAACGGUAACAUAAAGAAGCUUGCUUCUUUGAUGACGAGUGGCGGUACGGGUGAGUAAUGCUUGGGAAUCUAGCUUAUGGAGGGGGAUAACUACGGGAAACUGUAGCUAAUACCGCGUAAUAUCGAAAGAUUAAAGUGUGGGACCUUCGGGCCACAUGCCAUAGGAUGAGCCCAAGUGGGAUUAGGUAGUUGGUGAGGUAAAGGCUCACCAAGCCGACGAUCUCUAGCUGGUCUGAGAGGAUGACCAGCCACACUGGGACUGAGACACGGCCCAGACUCCUACGGGAGGCAGCAGUGGGGAAUAUUGCGCAAUGGGGGCAACCCUGACGCAGCCAUGCCGCGUGAAUGAAGAAGGCCUUCGGGUUGUAAAGUUCUUUCGGUAGCGAGGAAGGCAUUUAGUUUAAUAGACUAGGUGAUUGACGUUAACUACAGAAGAAGCACCGGCUAACUCCGUGCCAGCAGCCGCGGUUAUACGGAGGGUGCGAGCGUUAAUCGGAAUAACUGGGCGUAAAGGGCACGCAGGCGGUGACUUAAGUGAGGUGUGAAAGCCCCGGGCUUAACCUGGGAAUUGCAUUUCAUACUGGGUCGCUAGAGUACUUUAGGGAGGGGUAGAAUUCCACGUGUAGCGGUGAAAUGCGUAGAGAUGUGGAGGAAUACCGAAGGCGAAGGCAGCCCCUUGGGAAUGUACUGACGCUCAUGUGCGAAAG